AAGCGGUGGAGCAUGUGGUUUAAUCGAAGCAACGCGAAGAACCUUACCAGGUCUUGACAUCCCGAUGCUAUUUCUAGAGAUAGAAAGUUACUUCGGUACAUCGGUGACAGGUGGUGCAUGGUUGUCGUCAGCUCGUGUCGUGAGAUGUUGGGUUAAGUCCCGCAACGAGCGCAACCCCUAUUGUUAGUUGCCAUCAUUCAGUUGGGCACUCUAGCGAGACUGCCGGUAAUAAACCGGAGGAAGUGGGGAUGACGUCAAAUCAUCAUGCCCCUUAUGACCUGGGCUACACACGUGCUACAAUGGUUGGUACAACGAGUUGCGAGUCGGUGACGGCGAGCUAAUCUCUUAAAGCCAAUCUCAGUUCGGAUUGUAGGCUGCAACUCGCCUACAUGAAGUCGGAAUCGCUAGUAAUCGCGGAUCAGCACGCCGCGGUGAAUACGUUCCCGGGCCUU
rnacentral:rRNA from 1 species